GACGAACGCUGGCGGCGUGCUUAACACAUGCAAGUCGAACGGAAAGGCCCUGCUUUUGUGGGGUGCUCGAGUGGCGAACGGGUGAGUAACACGUGAGUAACCUGCCCUUGACUUUGGGAUAACUUCAGGAAACUGGGGCUAAUACCGGAUAGGAGCUCCUGCUGCAUGGUGGGGGUUGGAAAGUUUCGGCGGUUGGGGAUGGACUCGCGGUUUAUCAGCUUGUUGGUGGGGUAGUGGCUUACCAAGGCUUUGACGGGUAGCCGGCCUGAGAGGGUGACCGGCCACAUUGGGACUGAGAUACGGCCCAGACUCCUACGGGAGGCAGCAGUGGGGAAUAUUGCACAAUGGGCGGAAGCCUGAUGCAGCAACGCCGCGUGCGGGAUGACGGCCUUCGGGUUGUAAACCGCUUUCGCCUGUGACGAAGCGUGAGUGGCGGUAAUGGGUAAAGAAGCACCGGCUAACUACGUG
rnacentral:rRNA from 1 species